rnacentral:rRNA from 1 species
UGGGGAAUUUUGGACAAUGGGCGAAAGCCUGAUCCAGCAAUGCCGCGUGUGUGAAGAAGGCCUUCGGGUUGUAAAGCACUUUUGUCCGGAAAGAAAUCCUUGGCUCUAAUACAGUCGGGGGAUGACGGUACCGGAAGAAUAAGCACCGGCUAACUACGUGCCAGCAGCCGCGGUAAUACGUAGGGUGCAAGCGUUAAUCGGAAUUACUGGGCGUAAAGCAUGCGCAGGCGGUUUGCUAAGACCGAUGUGAAAUCCCCGGGCUCAACCUGGGAACUGCAUUGGUGACUGGCAGGCUAGAGUAUGGCAGAGGGGGGUAGAAUUCCACGUGUAGCAGUGAAAUGCGUAGAGAUGUGGAGGAAUACCGAUGGCGAAGGCAGCCCCCUGGGCCAAUACUGACGCUCAUGCACGAAAGCGUGGGGAGCAAAACAGGAUUAGAUACCCUGGUAGUCCACGCCCUAAACGAUGUCAACUAGUUGUUGGGGAUUCAUUUCCUUAGUAACGUAGCUAACGCGUGAAGUUGACCGCCUGGGGAGUACGGUCGCAAGAUUAAAACUCAAAGGAAUUGACGGGGUCAUAGCUGUUUCCU